rnacentral:lncRNA from 1 species
GGGGGCUGAUUUUUGGGCGCGGCUGUGCCCGUGGCCUAUUUUUGGAUCACCGAGGCCGCCCGCCAAGUAUGGUGCCAUUCCGAGUCCCGCGGACGAACUUCGCCCACGCCCCCCACCAAGGCUAUAGCCCACGCGAUUUUUGGCCAUUUUUCCGCUGGGGGGUCUUGGGACCCCGACCUUCGGGGGCUGAUUUUUGGGCGAGGCUGUGCCCUUGGCCUAUUUUUGGCACACGGAGGCCGCCCGCCAAGUCUGGGGCCAUUCCGAGUCCCGCGGACGAACUUCGCCCACGCCCCCCACCAAGGCUAUAGCCCACCCGUUUUUGGCCAUUUUUCCGCUGGGGGGUCUUGGGACCCCGACCUUCGGGGGCUGAUUUUUGGGCGCGGCUGUGCCCGUGGCCUAUUUUUGGCACACAGAGGCCGCCUGCCAAGUAUGGUGCCAUUCCGAGUCCCGCGGACGAACUUCGCCCACGCCCCCCACCAAGGCUAUAUACCCCACGCGUUUUUUGGCCAUUUUUCCGCUGGGGGGUCUUGGGACCCCGACCUUCGGGGGCGGAUUUUUGGGCCCGGCUGUGCCCGUGGCCUAUUUUUGGCACACAGAGGCCGCCCGCCAAGUAUGGUGCCAUUCCGAGUCCCGCGGACGAACUUCGCCCACGCCCCCGACCAAGGCUAUAGUCCACCCGUUUUUUGGCCAUUUUUCCGCUGGGGGGUCUUGGGACCCCGACCUUCGGGGGCUGAUUUUUGGGCGCGGCUGUGCCCGUGGCCUAUUUUUGGCACACGGAGGCCGCCCGCCAAGUAUGGUGCCAUUCCGAGUCCCGCGGACGAACUUCGCCCACGCCCCCCACCAAGGCUAUAGCCCACGCGUUUUUUGGCCAUUUUUCCGCUGGGGGGUCUUGGGACCCCGACCUUCGGGGGCUGAUUUUUGGGCGCGGCUGUGCCCGUGGCCUAUUUUUGGCACACGGAGGCCGCCCGCCAAGUAUGGUGCCAUUCCGAGUCCCGCGGACGAACUUCGCCCACGCCCCCCACCAAGGCUAUAGCCCACGCGUUUUUUGGCCAUUUUUCCGCUGGGGGGUCUUGGGACCCCGACCUUCGGGGGCUGAUUUUUGGGCGCGGCUGUGCCCGUGGCCUAUUUUUGGCACACGGAGGCCGCCCGCCAAGUCUGGGGCCAUUCCGGGUCCCGCGGACGAACUUCGCCCACGCCCCCCACCAAGGCUAUAUCCCACGCGUUUUUUGGCCAUUUUUCCGCUGGGGGGUCUUGGGACCCCGACCUUCGGGGGCUGAUUUUUGGGCGCGGCUGUGCCCGUGGCCUAUUUUUGGCACACGGAGGCCGCCCGCCAAGUAUGGUGCCAUUCCGAGUCCCGCGGACGAACUUCGCCCACGCCCCCCACCAAGGCUAUAGCCCACCCGUUUUUUGGCCAUUUUUCCGCUGGGGGGUCUUGGGACCCCGACCUUCGGGGGCUGAUUUUUGGGCGCGGCUGUGCCCGUGGCCUAUUUUUGGCACACGGAGGCCGCCCGCCAAGUAUGGUGCCAUUCCGAGUCCCGCGGACGAACUUCGCCCACGCCCCCCACCAAGGCUAUAGCCCACCCGUUUUUUGGCCAUUUUUCCGCUGGGGGGUCUUGGGACCCCGACCUUCGGGGGCUGAUUUUUGGGCGCGGCUGUGCCCGUGGCCUAUUUUUGGCACACAGAGGCCGCCCGCCAAGUAUGGUGCCAUUCCGAGUCCCGCGGACGAACUUCGCCCACGCCCCCCACCAAGGCUAUAGCCCACGCGUUUUUUGGCCUUUUUUCCGCUGGGGGGUCUUGGGACCCCGACCUUCGGGGGCUGAUUUUUGGGCGCGGCUGUGCCCGUGGCCUAUUUUUGGCACACCGAGGCCGCCCGCCAAGUAUGGUGCCAUUCCGAGUCCCGCGGACGAACUUCGCCCACGUCCCCCACCAAAGCUAUAGCCCACGCGUUUUUUGGCCAUUUUUCCGCUGGGGGGUAUUGGGACCCCGACCUUCGGGGGCUGAUUUUUGGGCGCGGCUGUGCCCGUGGCCUAUUUUUGGCACACAGAGGCCGCCCGCCAAGUAUGGUGCCAUUCCGAGUCCCGCGGACGAACUUCGCCCACGCCCCCCACCAAGGCUAUAGCGCACCCGUUUUUUGGCCAUUUUUCCGCCGGGGGGUCUUGGGACCCCGACCUUCGGGGGCUGAUUUUUGGGCGCGGCUGUGCCCGUGGCCUAUUUUUAGCACACGGAGGCCGCCCGCCAAGUAUGGUGCCAUUCCGAGUCCCGCGGACGAACUUCGCCCACGCCCCCCACCAAGGCUAUAGCCCACGCGUUUUUUGACCAUUUUUCCGCUGGGGGGUCUUGGGACCCCGACCUUCGGGGGCUGAUUUUUGGGCGCGGCUGUGCCCGUGGCCUAUUUUUGGCACACCGAGGCCGCCCGCCAAGUAUGGUGCCAUUCCGAGUCCCGCGGACGAACUUCGCCCACGCCCCCCACCAAGGCUAUAGCCCACGCGUUUUUUGACCAUUUUUCCGCUGGGGGGUCUUGGGACCCCGACGUUCGGGGGCUGAUUUUUGGGCGCGGCUGUGCCCGUGGCCUAUUUUUGGCACACGGAGGCCGCCCGCCAAGUAUGGUGCCAUUCCGAGUCCCACGGACGAACUUCGCCCACGCCCCCCACCAAGGCUAUAGCCCACGCGUUUUUUGGCCAUUUUUCCGCUGGGGGGUCUUGGGACCCCGACCUUCGGGGGCUGAUUUUUGGGCGCGGCUGUUCCCGUGGCCUAUUUUUGGCACACAGAGGCCGCCCGCCAAGUAUGGUGCCAUUCCGAGUCCCGCGGACGAACUUCGCCUACGCCCCCCACCAAGGCUAUAGCCCACCCUUUUUUUGGCCAUUUUUCCGCUGGGGGGUCUUGGGACCCCGACCUUCGGGGGCUGAUUUUUGGGCGCGGCUGUGCCCGUGGCCUAUUUUUGGCACACGGAGGCCGCCCGCCAAGUCUGGGGCCAUUCCGAGUCCCGCGGACGAACUUCGCCCACGCCCCCCACCAAGGCUAUAGCCCACCCUUUUUUUGGCCAUUUUUCCGCUGGGGGGUCUUGGGACCCCGACCUUCGGGGGCUGAUUUUUGGGCGCGGCUGUGCACGUGGCCUAUUUUUGGCACACAGAGGCCGCCCGCCAAGUAUGGUGCCAUUCCGAGUCCCGCGGACGAACUUCGCCCACGCCCCCCACCAAGGCUAUAGCCCACGCGUUUUUUGGCCAUUUUUCCGCUGGGGGGACUUGGGACCCCGACCUUCGGGGGCUGAUUUUUGGGCGCGGCUGUGCCCGUGGCCUAUUUUUGGCACACAGAGGCCGCCCGCCAAGUCUGGUGCCAUUCAGAGUCCCGCGGACGAACUUCGCCCACGCCCCCCACCAAGGCUAUAGCCCACGCGUUUUUUGGCCAUUUUUCCGCUGGGGGGUCUUGGGACCCCGACCUUCGGGGGCUGAUUUUUGGGCGCGGCUGUGCCCGUGGCCUAUUUUUGGCACACGGAGGCCGCCCGCCAAGUAUGGUGCCAUUCCGAGUCCCGCGGACGAACUUCGCCCACGCCCCCCACCAAGGCUAUAGCCCACCCGUUUUUUGGCCAUUUUUCCGCUGGGGGGUCUUGGGACCCCGACCUUCGGGGGCUGAUUUUUGGGCGCGGCUGUGCCCGUGGCCUAUUUUUGGCACACAGAGGCCGCCCGCCUAGUAUGGUGCCAUUCCGAGUCCCGCGGACGAACUUCGCCCACGCCCCCCACCAAGGCUAUAGCCCACCCGUUUUUUGGCCAUUUUUCCGCUGGGGGGUCUUGGGACCCCGACCUUCGGGGGCUGAUUUUUGGGCGCGGCUGUGCCCGUGGCCUAUUUUUGGCACACAGAGGCCGCCCGCCAAGUAUGGUGCCAUUCCGAGUCCCGCGGACGAACUUCGCCCACGCCCCCCACCAAGGCUAUAGCCCACCCGUUUCUUGGCCAUUUUUCCGCUGGGGGGUCUUGGGACCCCGACCUUCGGGGGCUGAUUUUUGGGCGCGGCUGUGCCCGUGGCCUAUUUUUGGCACACCGAGGCCGCCCGCCAAGUAUGGUGCCAUUCCGAGUCCCGCGGACGAACUUCGCCCACGCCCCCCACCAAGGCUAUAGCCCACGCGUUUUUUGGCCAUUUUUCCGCUGGGGGGUCUUGGGACCCCGACCUUCGGGGGCUGAUUUUUGGGCGCGGCUGUGCCCGUGGCCUAUUUUUGGCACACAGAGGCCGCCCGCCAAGUAUGGUGCCAUUCCGAGUCCCGCGGACGAACUUCGCCCACGCCCCCCACCAAGGCUAUAGCGCACCCGUUUUUUGGCCAUUUUUCCGCCGGGGGGUCUUGGGACCCCGACCUUCGGGGGCUGAUUUUUGGGCGCGGCUGUGCCCGUGGCCUAUUUUUAGCACACGGAGGCCGCCCGCCAAGUAUGGUGCCAUUCCGAGUCCCGCGGACGAACUUCGCCCACGCCCCCCACCAAGGCUAUAGCCCACGCGUUUUUUGACCAUUUUUCCGCUGGGGGGUCUUGGGACCCCGACCUUCGGGGGCUGAUUUUUGGGCGCGGCUGUGCCCGUGGCCUAUUUUUGGCACACCGAGGCCGCCCGCCAAGUAUGGUGCCAUUCCGAGUCCCGCGGACGAACUUCGCCCACGCCCCCCACCAAGGCUAUAGCCCACGCGUUUUUUGACCAUUUUUCCGCUGGGGGGUCUUGGGACCCCGACGUUCGGGGGCUGAUUUUUGGGCGCGGCUGUGCCCGUGGCCUAUUUUUGGCACACGGAGGCCGCCCGCCAAGUAUGGUGCCAUUCCGAGUCCCACGGACGAACUUCGCCCACGCCCCCCACCAAGGCUAUAGCCCACGCGUUUUUUGGCCAUUUUUCCGCUGGGGGGUCUUGGGACCCCGACCUUCGGGGGCUGAUUUUUGGGCGCGGCUGUGCCCGUGGCCUAUUUUUGGCACACGGAGGCCGCCCGCCAAGUAUGGUGCCAUUCUGAGUCCCGCGGACGAACUUCGCCCACGCCCCCCACCAAGGCUAUAGCCCACCCGUUUUUUGGCCAUUUUUCCGCUGGGGGGUCUUUGGACCCCGACCUUCGGGGGCUGAUUUUUGGGCGCGGCUGUGCCCGUGGCCUAUUUUUGGCACACAGAGGCCGCCCGCCUAGUAUGGUGCCAUUCCGAGUCCCGCGGACGAACUUCGCCCACGCCCCCCACCAAGGCUAUAGCCCACGCGUUUUUUGGCCUUUUUUCCGCUGGGGGGUCUUGGGACCCCGACCUUCGGGGGCUGAUUUUUGGGCGCGGCUGUGCCCGUGGCCUAUUUUUGGCACACAGAGGCCGCCCGCCAAGUAUGGUGCCAUUCCGAGUCCCGCGGACGAACUUCGCCCACGCCCCCCACCAAGGCUAUAGCCCACGCGUUUUUUGGCCAUUUUUCCGCUGGGGGGUUUUGGGACCCCGACCUUCGGGGGCUGAUUUUUGGGCGUGGCUGUGCCCGUGGCCUAUUUUUGGCACACGGAGGCCGCCCGCCAAGUAUGGUGCCAUUCCGAGUCCCGCGGACGAACUUCGCCCACGCCCCCCACCAAGGCUAUAGCCCACCCGUUUUUUGGCCAUUUUUCCGCUGGGGGGUCUUGGGACCCCGACCUUCGGGGGCUGAUUUUUGGGCGCGGCUGUGCCCGUGGCCUAUUUUUGGCACACAGAGGCCGCCCGCCAAGUAUGGUGCCAUUCCGAGUCCCGCGGACGAACUUCGCCCACGCCCCCCACCAAGGCUAUAGCCCACGCGUUUUUUGGCCUUUUUUCCGCUGGGGGGUCUUGGGACCCCGAUCUUCGGGGGCUGAUUUUUGGGCGCGGCUGUGCCCGUGGCCUAUUUUUCGCAAACAGAGGCCGCCCGCCAAGUAUGGUGCCAUUCCGAGUCCCGCGGACGAACUUCGCCCACGCCCCCCACCAAGGCUAUAGCCCACGCGUUUUUUGGCCAUUUUUCCGCUGGGGGGUCUUGGGACCCCGACCUUCGGGGGCUGAUUUUUGGGCGCGGCUGUGCCCGUGGCCUAUUUUUGGAACACCGAGGCCGCCCGCCAAGUGUGGUGCCAUUCCGAGUCCCGCGGACGAACUUCGCCCACGCCCCCCACCAAGGCUAUAGCCCAUGCGUUUUUUGGCCUUUUUUCCGCUGGGGGGUCUUGGGACCCCGACCUUCGGGGGCUGAUUUUUGGGCGCGGCUGUGCCCGUGGCCUAUUUUUGGCACACAGAGGCCGCCCGCCAAGUAUGGUGCCAUUCCGAGUCCCGCGGACGAACUUCGCCCACGCCCCCCACCAAGGCUAUAGCCCACGCGUUUUUUGGCCAUUUUUCCGCUGGGGGGUCUUGGGACCCCGACCUUCGGGGGCUGAUUUUUGGGCGCGGCUGUGUCCGUGGCCUAUUUUUGGCACACAGAGGCCGCCCGCCAAGUAUGGUGCCAUUCCGAGUCCCGCGGACGAACUUCGCCCACGCCCCCCACCAAGGCUAUAGCCCACCCGUUUUUUGGCCAUUUUU